GCAAUGAUAGUUCAAGGGUAGAAUUCGAGCUUCCCAUGCUCGAGGUCGGGGUUCGAGUCCCCGUCAUUGCA